CCUACGGGGGGCAGCAGUGAGGAAUAUUGGUCAAUGGACGCAAGUCUGAACCAGCCAUGCCGCGUGCAGGAUGACGGCUCUAUGAGUUGUAAACUGCUUUUGUACGAGGGUAAACCCCGUUACGUGUAGCUGGUUGAAAGUAUCGUACGAAUAAGGAUCGGCUAACUCCGUGCCAGCAGCCGCGGUAAUACGGAGGAUCCGAGCGUUAUCCGGAUUUAUUGGGUUUAAAGGGUGCGUAGGCGGUUUGAUAAGUUAGAGGUGAAAUGUCGGGGCUCAACCCCGGAACUGCCUCGCAUACUGUGGGGCUAGAGAAUAGUGGAGGUAGGCGGAAUGUAUGGUGUAGCGGUGAAAUGCUUAGAGAUCACGCAGAACACCGAUUGCGAAGGCAGCUUACCAAACUGUAUCUGACGUUGAGGCACGAAAGCGUGGGUAGCAAACAGGAUUAGAUACCCGUGUAGUC
rnacentral:rRNA from 1 species